AGCCGCCGCGGUAAUACCAGCACCCCGAGUGGUCGGGACGAUUAUUGGGCCUAAAGCAUCCGUAGCCGGUCAUGCAAGUCCUCCGUUAAAUCCACCUGCUUAACAGAUGGGCUGCGGAGGAUACUACAAGGCUAGGAGGCGGAAGAGGCAAGCGGUACUCAGUGGGUAGGGGUAAAAUCCUCUGAUCCAUUGAAGACCACCAGUGGCGAAGGCGGCUUGCCAAUACGCGCUCGACGGUGAGGGAUGAAAGCUGGGGGAGCAAACCGGAUUAGAUACCCGGGUAGUCCCAGCCGUAAACGAUGCAGACUCGGUGAUGGGUUGGCUUCGCGCUAACCCAGUGCCGCAGGGAAGCCGUUAAGUCUGCCGCCUGGGGAGUACGGUCGCAAGACUGAAACUUAA
rnacentral:rRNA from 1 species